AACUUGUUCUCAACUAGCCUACCUGGCUAAAUAAAGGUGAGAAAAAAAACAAGGCCUUAUUUUGAUGUUUUAUGGGCCACAUCAGGCCUGCAAGUAUGGUUGCAAAAAUUACACAACUUUCCCAGUAAUUCUGACUAGCCACAGUAAUCACAUUAUUGUGUGCAUGUAUCUGUACUCAUUGGCUCAUAGUCUUUUAGAUUGAGUUCUGAUAUUUGGCAAGUGUGGUAAUGAGUACAGAAAUAGCUCAUCCCAGGGUAAUGUGUCAUUUUUUUUUACCGAUGUUCGUCUUAUGAGGCCAAAUUCUGAACCUCGGCAUGGAUGCUUGCAGCUAUAUUUAGAGUUGAAUUUGAAUGAAUGUUUAGAAUUUUUGGUGACCGGGUGCAGUACUUGUUAGACAGGUUCAUUGUGGUAGGAGUAGCUUUUGAAUAUGUUUUGAAUAUUUGAAACUUCCUUCUUCACCUUCACUUUCCCCGAUGUGACGGUCAUGGAUGUACAUGUAUUUUUUGAAGCUUUGUUUUUGUAAUAUAUUGAUUUAAUAUUUUAGUGUGUAGAUUUCUUUUUGACCAUUACCAAGGAUUUUCUGGAAACAUGACCCAACACAUUGGCACCUCUAAGAAAGAUCACCCAUCAAAUCUGAACAACUGGUGUUUUGUCCACAAGAUGGAAAAAGGUUCAGUGUGCUAACAACCCGCUGGGUAAUCCUGGAGUGGUGGUCUACUACCUGUGUACAUGUCCCCUGAACCAGACACCUCUUCAUGGAGAGAGGAGAUUAACGAUGAUGAGGAACCCAUGGAGGACAACCAACACACACACACACUGUGUGCCUUAUUUGAUCAUUUUAUACAAUGCCUGUUUUACAUAUUUGGGGGGUUUUAAAGGGCAAUCCCACUAAAGUAAUGCAUGUCUAUUGACUGUUCAGUGAUGAGCAAAUUGGUAAACUGAAGCAAAGAUCAUACGCCAAGACAUAACCUCUGUGGUUAAUGGUAAUAGUGAGAGAUUAGCAUGUCUUGGGGGUAUGAUCUUUGACCCUCUGUAACAUUCUCACUCAUCAUAAUUCACAAUUCAUUCAGGAUUAUCUCUAAUCAUUGUUGUAUCCAUUGUCAGUGGCAUCAUUAGGCCUUGGCUUCCAAUGCUGUUUUUGAUGGUAAAAGAAAAAUGUCAGUCUGAUAUGCGUUUCAAUAAACACACAUCAUUUGCACUAUA